AUGAGAUGGUUGGAUGGCAUCACCGACUCAAUGGACAUGAGCAUGAGCAAGCUCCAGGAGACAGUGAUGGACAGGGAGGCCUGGCGUGCUGCAGUCCAUGGCGUCGCAAAGAGUCAGACAGGAAUGGGCGAGUGAACAACAGCACUGGUCCAGGCACCAGUGAUGGGAUAAGUCUGGAUCCUCCCUAGCCAGACAGUCCUGCCAGCCCACAGGAUGCCUGACGUGUUGGGCAUGGGAGGCCCAUGCUGAAUCCUGAACAGUGUAGAUGGGGAGAACAGGAUGCCCCAGGGCAGGGGUGGCUGCUGCGCCUCACCCAGCUCUCCGGAGACCCCUCUGAAGGCUCACCGAGCAGUGGGGAGAGGCCUUUAAUAGACAGUCAGGGAGCUGAACCAAACUGACACCCCGCUCUUCAGAGUGCAGGACUUCCUGAGCAGUUUUUUUCAAGUUUGUUUGAAAAAGUAAUCCUGCUGGGAGCUGAGCAUCAGGAACAUAUGGUCCAUGCAGACUCAGAGUCUCAGCGGGUGCGGGGCUCCCAGAGAGACCGAGGCCAGUCCAGGUCAGUGAUCACUCCCUGAGCUAAGCCUGUGUGCUGCCGGCGCCUGGAGCUAGAAAGGAGGAAAGCACAGCGCUGCCCUGGAGGCAGACUCACGGCUGAAGUACGAGCUGAACCUUCAACACAAAUAGCGGCCAGUACCAACCAGGUGCUCAACGAAGGACCAGAUAUCGGGCUAAGCACCUUGUCAGCAUCAGUAACCCACUCCUCACAGCCACCCCGUGACGUGGGCACGGAAGUCACUCACCCAGGCAAGUCUGCACCCCAUGUACACUGGGUAUUCUCUGUAGUUUGUGCUUCUUACCAUCAAAAGAGGACAAUAGCUAAGAAAAGAGCCACCCGUCUUCUGGUUGGUUGCAUUCUCUCAAUUUUUUCUGGAUUAAAGAAUCUGAUACAAAACACAUGUUUGUAUAGCUGUAAUUCUACUCUUAAAAAAUAGUUGCUUUCCACCACAAUGGACAAGCAAUUGAGAAUUCUGACCACUUGCAUGUUACUGAAGAGUUGGCUCUGAUGUGAGUGUCAUUGUCCUUUGUGAUCUGUGACACUCAUCGCUUCAGCCAGAUCACACCAUUCCACACACACAGCACUGGAGCAAAUAAUUUGAUUAAAGCAAUUGUCUAGUUUUGAAACAUGGCGGUUCUAACAGUGUCACUGGUUUAUUCUAGGGUUUGACUCCCCCAGUCAAUAAUUUUCUGUUGCACUGUAAAAAUCCCCGUUUCCCAUAGUAGGACGCUGACUCUAGAGCCAUCAAAUGCAUGAGCCCAAGGGGUGCCUCCCACUGCUUCAGCAGGGAGCAGCCACUCAGCUGCCAAGGAAACUCACCGGUCUACACUCCUUGAAAAAAUAUCCACGACCG